rnacentral:misc_RNA from 1 species
GACGAACCGUGCAAACGUUAUUCGGAAUCACUGGGCUUAAAGCGUGCGUAGGCGGUCCAGCAAGUUGGGUGUGAAAUGCCUCGGCUCAACCGAGGAAUUGCGCUCAAAACUGCUGGGCUUGAGGGAGUUAGAGGAGAGCGGAACUCACGGUGGAGCGGUGAAAUGCGUUGAUAUCGUGAGGAACACCGGUGGCGAAAGCGGCUCUCUGGGGCUCAUCUGACGCUCAGGCACGAAAGCUAGGGGAGCAAACGGG